AAAAAGGAAAUAGAAACCGAAUAUGGAAAUGAAAAUCGAAUAAGGAAAUAGAAACUGAAUAAGGAAAAAGAAACUGAAUAAGGAAAUGAAAAUCAAAACAGGAAAUAGAAACCGAAUAAGAAAAUGAUAAUCAAAAAAGGAAAUAGAAAACGAAUAAGGAAAUGAAAAUCGAAAAAGGAAAUAGAAACCGAAUAAGGAAAUAAAGAUUGAAUAAGGAAAUAGAAACCGAAUAAGGAAAAAGAAACCGAAUAAGGAAAUGAAAAUCAAAAAAGGAAAUAGAAACCGAAUAAGGAAAUGAAAAUCGAAAAAGGAAAUAGAAAACGAAUAAGGAAAUGAAAAUUGAAAAAGGAAAUAGAAA
rnacentral:lncRNA from 1 species